rnacentral:ncRNA from 10 species
AUGCAAGCGCAUGACUGGCGAUGAAAGGUGGAAGACCACCGGGAAGUGCGCAGGGUUUGAGUGCAUCCAAGGAUGGUGUGAGUCAGCCCAAAGCCGCUCGCCUGGGCACUUUGA